AUUGAACGCUGGCGGCAUGCUUUACACAUGCAAGUCGAACGGCAGCGCGGGCUUCGGCCUGGCGGCGAGUGGCGAACGGGUGAGUAAUAUAUCGGAACGUACCCAAGAGUGGGGGAUAACGUAGCGAAAGUUACGCUAAUACCGCAUACGAUCUAAGGAUGAAAGCAGGGGAUCGCAAGACCUUGUGCUCCUGGAGCGGCCGAUAUCUGAUUAGCUAGUUGGUGAGGUAAAGGCUCACCAAGGCAACGAUCAGUAGCUGGUCUGAGAGGACGACCAGCCACACUGGAACUGAGACACGGUCCAGACUCCUACGGGAGGCAGCAGUGGGGAAUUUUGGGCAAUGGGCGAAAGCCUGACCCAGCAACGCCGCGUGGGUGACGAAGGCCUUCGGGUCGUAAAGCCCUUUUCCUGGGGGGACGAGUAAUGACGGGUACCCCAGGAAGAAGCACCGGCUAACUACGUGCCAGCAG
rnacentral:rRNA from 1 species